rnacentral:lncRNA from 1 species
CCAAGCCUCUGGGCCCCCCCUCAGUCCUGCCUGAACACUGGGCAGUUCUUCAAAAUGGGUUUACAUGAAGGAAGGAGAUCUUUUGAUCGCAGAUCUCACUCAUUCUUGUCGCAAGGAUGGGGCCAUUGCGCAAUGCUCCCUCUCGACCCUGAGUUGCUGAGGUGCAUGGUUUACACAACCCCUGCAAUAGGAGAACUAAACGAUGGCCUCGUUUUAAUAAAGUUCCAUUUUACAGUUAAACAUAAACUAGGGCGUUUUAAGAUGUUUUUAUAUAAUUUCAAUUGCAUUCAACAAUUACCCAACAUCUACAACUAUGAAAGCACGCAAAAUCAAUGAAGUUAUAAUUAAAACUCACUCGGCUUACAUUCAACCAAAUAAUCAUAAAUCUUUCUACAACUAAGCAAUUUAGCACACUCGGUUAAUCAACAAUCAACAAACCAUAUAAAUUCACAUAAUUCAUGCUUUUUCACAAUGUUAUUAUCGACAAAAUUAUAAAUUCAAAUUGCAAAUCCCUACCUCAAUGCGAGUACGAAACCCAUGUCAUCAUGGUCACCCGAGACACUCGAAUUUGAUGAUAUCCUGACCUGAGUGGUGAGAGCACGCGUGGCGGUUCUGCGGGUGCGAGAUUUCGUCCAUGUGAAGAAAUUAGGCGAAUUUGGAAAAGGGGGAAAUGGGGGAAAUCUGUUGUUGUUGUUGUUGUAGUGGUGUUAGUUUGGUGGUGAGCUUGAGCGUGCACGCGCGAGAGAGCGACCGCUAAUAGGGGAGGGAGGGUCGCUCAGCUCGCGCGCGCACACACACACUGACCAGAGAAAAAGAGAGGAGAUGAGGGGUGGUCGUGAUAGAUGGUGGUUGCUGGUGAUGGUGGGAGAGGGCGAUCGAAGAGAGAGAAGGAAGAGACAAAGAGGGAUGCGCGUGAGAAAGAAUAGGAGAGGGUGUGGUCAGCAGUGGUCGUGGCCGCCGACGGUGUGGUGGUCAAAGGCCAAGUGUCACGUAUCCUCUUCUGAUUGAUUCACAUGUUCUUUAUAUUUUAUACUUUUUAUAUUUGCCCCUUGCAAGUGUGGAGUAUAGGCGAGAGAGUUUCGCACGUGCAUCAUAUUCUAACGAUCAAAAGUUUUAAUCUUUACCCAUUAUAAUCGUCGCAUCUUUACCAUCCAAUGGUAACUUUUUAAAAGUUCACCUCCGUUUGCAAAGGCCAUUUCAUUAGCUCCCUUGCUCAUUCAUCGUUAGUAUUAACACAACACCACCUCAAAACCUCAUUUAUAAAUAUCUCAAACACUUGGGGCUUUUUCACUUUGUGAUUUCAAGUACCUCUUUCUACUUUUCCUUCUUUCUUGCUUCUUGCUUUCAUUCUUCAAUCUUUCUUCACACCUUCUUCUUUCAGAACACUUCGUCAAUGGCAAGAGCUGUUGGCGGUCUUCAACACCCAGUCAAGUUGAGGGCUCAACCUCUCUACGACCCUUGGUAGCCCCCAAAUCCUGAGUGGCAUUGUGCAACUUACUGCGGCGGUCUAGAAGAUCCUUUAUAGGGGAAUCAAGAAACUUCCUCUCAAACUUUUGGCUCCCGCGAAAGAUAUUCUCUUGAUUCGAACAAAAGCUGACUUAGCUCAUGCCGAUCCCUUCCCUCUCGGUGAUAUUCUCCGUCUAUGCAUCGAGAAAGGAGACUUCCCACACAGCUUCGUCCAAUACAAAAAGUAGUUUUCAACCCCCAAACCACUAAUCAAACUGGGCCCAAGAAGUUCUCACUAACCUAGACUUCAGCAAUAGACUCUACGUGAUGGUUUUGUAUGACGCUGUGGUAAUUUAUCAAACUCUCUUUCUUAACCACUCUAAUACUAACUUGGACAGACACAAUGACCAUUGGAAUUGCUCCCCCACACCUUUUUGACCCUUCUAACUUUGGAAGACGUGUCAGUGCUAAUGAAGCUCCCCAUUCGAAGCUCCCAAUUAUUCAACCUAGCAUCGCUUUAAGACGAUGGCCAGGUCAUCUUUACGGCAUUAAGAAAAGCUCUUCAUGAUUAUGAGCUGGUGCUUGUAUCCUUUAAUCUCGUACAUCAAAAUGCAACUCCAAGCGUAGAGUUAGGGAUCAAGGUAGCAUAAUACUUGGUAAGAACCAAUGUCAUUUUUCUACAGGAAUCUAGUUGUAACGUAUUGAGCACGUCAUGAGUAUCAAUGGUAGAUCAAGAAGAUAUGAUUGUAGGUGUGUGAUUUGUUGUGAAUAAUAUUGAUUGAGUGAGAGUAGAGUAACUAGCAAGAUAUGAAAAACAAGGCUAAUCCAAGGAUUAAUCCAAACCACAAUCUAGAUUACCUAAUUCCUUUUCUCUUCAAUACACAACUAACUUGUCACGGGAAUUGUGAUAUUAGCUGGAAUAUGGAACGGUGAAAGCAUAAAAUACUAGAAAGAUAUAUCAAUGAAUUGCCUUGACUUUUGACUAAUAAAACAAACAUCUUGAAUGCAAGGAUCCUCCAUUUUUAUAAACAGACAAAUGGAGGAUUAGUUCAACAUUACCAGCAAGGAAAAUAUUGCACGAUAUCCACAAUUUGUAAAAAGAAAACAGAAAGUUGUAGUAACUAAUUAUCUUUACGUUUUGAUUUGGAUUUUUCCUCGUCUCCUUUUGGAAUUUCCCGCUUAUUCUUUGAAAAGUAAUUCUCAUAAUCUACCAACAUAAGACCCCAAACACGAAUUUACAAAAAAUUUUUUUUUUUAUAAAAAAGUUGUUAUUUGUCUAUAAACCCAUUAAUAAAAAUAAACAAUAAACCCAGUGAAAAUCCUUUCUCUUCUUUUAGGGAACUUCGCUCGAGAAAAAUCUACAAAACCUAUGGUUCACAAUAAUAUAUUUAAAAUCAGAUAAAUAUGCCUUUGACAAUUAUCUUUAUUAACCCUUUUGAAGCUAAAUACCCCUUUUGAAACCCUAACUUCUCAUCAAAUCUACUAAUACAUGUAUCUAUAUUCGGGAAAAUCUUGGUUCAUUAAAUCCUACCUGCAACUAUUACCACCGCUUAUCGCAUUAUGGCACAAACAAAACAACGAUUAAUAAUAGUUCAUAAAUCACAAAACCCAGAAGGAAAACAAACAAACACACCUUCCCAUAUAUACACAUAUAUGUGUACACACUCACACAAAAAAAUACUCUCACUCUUGCAUGAGACUAUCAAGACAGAGAAGCUCGGAUCCUUGAAAACAUCAUUCUUCGAUUGUCGGAGUGUGUGAUUGUACAAAAAAUAGUGUACAACAAAUUGAAGUGGAGAUGUAAUCUGGGUAUGAUUUGGGUUUCCUGAGCUCGAUUGGAGCUGAGAUACAAACUGAAUAAAACUUGAGGACCAAGCCAUGAUUUGGCAAUUCAUCAAUGUGCAACGAUGAAAUCCUGCCACAUUAUUGUCUGGUGCAGCUCCGUCCCCAUAGUUAAAGACAAUUUAUUCCACCUUAUCGGGUGGAUUGAUCCUCCCUCGAACCCGAUUAGGAGGGAUGAAAUGGGUGAAACUUGUCUUGCCCGAUCUUCAUCUUGUUGAAAGCCAAGAUAAACAAGAUGUCAGAAGAACUUUCAUUGUCGAUUAAAAUCCUCUAGACGUUGAAAUUGGCGAUGGUGGACUCGACCAGAGUGUCGUCAUGGGAGAGAUGAAGGCCUCUUAGAUCCUUAUUGGUGAAAGUGAUGGGAGGGCUCACCUCGGUCAUGGGUGAAUAGAGAUUUUAUACUUCAUCUUCUGCUCGCCCCUUUGCUUCCCCGAGUGUGUCUCUUCCUUAAUGAUGACGAAGAUCCUCCUGAUCCAAAACCUCCAUGGAUUGUUUGAAUGUCUCCAGCGGUAGGUCUGUUAUCAAUGUAUUCUCUUUCAGGCGUGGCUGGUCUCGGAAAAUCAGCCACGAACUUCCUCAAGUAUCCCCUCUUGAUCAAGUUAGCUAUUUGCUCCUUUAGUUGAAAACAGUCUUUUGUAUUGUGGCCAUGAUCACUGUGAAACUCACAAAACUUAUUCUCAUUUCUUCAAGAGGAUUGGUCUUGAUCUCCCUAGGCCAUUUCACAAACUCUUUGUUCUUGUUCUCCAUAAGUAUUUGGGCGAUGGGGGCGUUGAGAGGUGGUAGUAGCACCUUGGUUCGGCGAGGAGGAGUCCGAAGGCAUCGAUCGUUGAUUUGUCUCCUAGCAUCUCGCUUGGGCUUUCUUUGUUUCACGUCACCCUUGCAAUUCAUCUUUUGCGAAUCAAGCUCCUUCCUUUUGUGAUCUUCUUUCCCUCGCCUCCUUUGCUUGACUUCGGUCAAUUCUUCAAUGGCGACGUACUUAUCGGAUUUAGUUUGGAGUGCCGACAAGAUUUCUAAUACGUUCUUUGAUAAAGAAUCAAACAACAAACCAGGAUGGAGUCCCUCUAUCAUUACCAUAACUAUGACUUUGUCACCGGGGUUCUCUAUUUCAAGGACAACUUGAUUAAAUCGCUUGAUGUAAUUCUUUAGGUUUUUUUCCCAUCUUUUUGAUGGACAACGAAGAGGUGGGAGGCAUUAUUUUGCUUGCCUCUGAAGCUCAUGAUAUUGGCGAAAUAGAGCCGACUCAGGUCGCCGAAUGAGUCAGCUCUUGGCGAUAACUUUUUGAACCGCGACCUUGCCUACCCCCUCAGUGUUGCUGAGAAGGCUUUGUACAUCACCUCGUUCGAAGCGGCUUAAAGCAUCAUCAAGUUCUUGUAUGAAUCCAAAUGGUCCAUUGGAUCUAUUUUUCCUUCAUAAACCCCAAGCUAUGGGGGAAGUUUAAAUUUGGAUGAGACUCUGACCCUCAUCACACUUUUACUUAAUGGGGGUUCUUUUUGCCUUAUCAAUGCAUCCACGAUUAUUGGAGAAUUCAUGCUGGUGUUGAUAGCAUCGAUCCGAGCAUCCAAGUCUUUGAAUUUCUACUCGAUCGAUACACCACCACAGUGUUUGUCGAGACGGUCAUUAGUGCGAGGUGAUCCUCCCUGCCUGCGAGCCUCACUGACUGACUCCUAGGUUUUGUUGUAGGAUCGUGACUCAAAUAUUUCAUGGCUUCUCCU